rnacentral:rRNA from 1 species
UACGGGGGGAGCAAGCGUUGUUCGGAUUUACUGGGCGUGAAGGGCGCGUAGGCGGUCGUGACAAGUCACUUGUGAAAUCUCCGGGCUUAACUCGGAACGGUCAAGUGAUACUGUCGGACUAGAGUACAGAAGGGGCAACUGGAAUUCUCGGUGUAGCGGUGAAAUGCGUAGAUAUCGAGAGGAACACCUGCGGCGAAGGCGGGUUGCUGGGCUGAUACUGACGCUGAGGCGCGAAAGCCAGGGGAGCGAACGGG